UCAGGUCCACCCUGAAUGUAUCCAAUCUCAUCUGAUCUUGGAAGCUAUGCAGGGUUGGGCCUGGUUAGUACUUGGAUAAGAGAAAACUCCAGUCCUAAU
rnacentral:rRNA from 1 species